rnacentral:rRNA from 1 species
CAGUAGCCGCGGGAACACGAAGGGUGCAAGCGUUACUCGGAAUUACUGGGCGUAAAGCGUGUGUAGGUGGUUGUUUAAGUCUGUCGUGAAAGCCCUGGGCUCAACCUGGGAAUUGCGAUGGAUACUGGGCGACUAGAGUGCGGUAGAGGAUAGUGGAAUUCCCGGUGUAGCAGUGAAAUGCGUAGAGAUCGGAAGGAACAUCUGUGGCGAAGGCGACUAUCUGGGCCAACACUGACACUGAGACACGAAAGCGUGGGGAGCAAGCAGGAUUAGAUACCCCUGUAGUCCCUGUCUCUUAUAC